AACGGUAACAGGAAGCAGCUUGCUGCUUUGCUGACGAGUGGCGGACGGGUGAGUAAUGUCUGGGAAACUGCCUGAUGGAGGGGGAUAACUACUGGAAACGGUGGCUAAUACCGCAUAACGUCGCAAGACCAAAGAGGGGGACCUUCGGGCCUCUUGCCAUCAGAUGUGCCCAGAUGGGAUUAGCUUGUUGGUGAGGUAACGGCUCACCAAGGCGACGAUCCCUAGCUGGUCUGAGAGGAUGACCAGCCACACUGGAACUGAGACACGGUCCAGACUCCUACGGGAGGCAGCAGUGGGGAAUAUUGCACAAUGGGCGCAAGCCUGAUGCAGCCAUGCCGCGUGUAUGAAGAAGGCCUUCGGGUUGUAAAGUACUUUCAGCGGGGAGGAAGGUGUUGUGGUUAAUAACCGCAGCAAUUGACGUUACCCGCAGAAGAAGCACCGGCUAACUCCGUGCCAGCAGCCGCGGUAAUACGGAGGGUGCAAGCGUUAAUCGGAAUUACUGGGCGUAAAGCGCACGCAGGCGGUCUGUCAAGUCGGAUGUGAAAUCCCCGGGCUCAACCUGGGAACUGCAUUCGAAACUGGCAGGCUUGAGUCUUGUAGAGGGGGGUAGAAUUCCAGGUGUAGCGGUGAAAUGCGUAGAGAUCUGGAGGAAUACCGGUGGCGAAGGCGGCCCCCUGGACAAAGACUGACGCUCAGGUGCGAAAGCGUGGGGAGCAAACAGGAUUAGAUACCCUGGUAGUCCACGCCGUAAACGAUGUCUACUUGGAGGUUGUGCCCUUGAGGCGUGGCUUCCGGAGCUAACGCGUUAAGUAGACCGCCUGGGGAGUACGGCCGCAAGGUUAAAACUCAAAUGAAUUGACGGGGGCCCGCACAAGCGGUGGAGCAUGUGGUUUAAUUCGAUGCAACGCGAAGAACCUUACCUGGUCUUGACAUCCACGGAACUUUCCAGAGAUGGAUUGGUGCCUUCGGGAACCGUGAGACAGGUGCUGCAUGGCUGUCGUCAGCUCGUGUUGUGAAAUGUUGGGUUAAGUCCCGCAACGAGCGCAACCCUUAUCCUUUGUUGCCAGCGGUCCGGCCGGGAACUCAAAGGAGACUGCCAGUGAUAAACUGGAGGAAGGUGGGGAUGACGUCAAGUCAUCAUGGCCCUUACGACCAGGGCUACACACGUGCUACAAUGGCGCAUACAAAGAGAAGCGACCUCGCGAGAGCAAGCGGACCUCAUAAAGUGCGUCGUAGUCCGGAUUGGAGUCUGCAACUCGACUCCAUGAAGUCGGAAUCGCUAGUAAUCGUGGAUCAGAAUGCCACGGUGAAUACGUUCCCGGGCCUUGUACACACCGCCCGUCACACCAUGGGAGUGGGUUGCAAAAGAAGUAGGUAGCUUAACCUUCGGGAGGGCGCUUACCACUUUGUGAUUCAUGACUGGGGUGAAGUCGUAACAAGGUAACCGUAGGGGAACCUGCGGUUGGAUCACCUCCUUACCUUAAAGAAGC
rnacentral:rRNA from 1 species